rnacentral:rRNA from 1 species
GAUGAACGCUGGCGGUAUGCUUUACACAUGCAAGUCAUACGGAAGUUAGUUUCGGCUAACUUCAGUGGCGGACGGGUGAGUAACACGUGAGAAUUCGCCUUUAGGAGGGGGAUAACAGGGGGAAACACCUGCUAAAACCCCAUAUGCCUUCGGGUCAAAAGAGAAAUCUGCCUAAAGAGAAGCUCGUGGCUGAUUAGCUAGUUGGUGGGGUAAAGGCCUACCAAGGCGACGAUCAGUAGCGGGUCUGAGAGGAUGAUCAGCCACACUGGAACUGAGACAUGGUCCAGACUCCUACGGGAGGCAGCAGUGAGGAAUUUUCUGCAAUGGGCGAAAGCCUGACAGAGCAAUACCGCGUGAGGGAAGAAGGCUUACUGAGUUGUAAACCUCUGUUACCUAAGGAGGAAGAUCUGACGUUACUUAGGAGACGAAGCAUCGGCUAACUCCGUGCCAGCAGCCGCGGUAAUAC